GACGAACCGUCCAAACGUUAUUCGGAAUUACUGGGCUUAAAGGGUGCGUAGGCGGCGCCGUAAGUCGGGUGUGAAAUCCCUCGGCUCAACCGAGGAACUGCGCCCGAUACUGCGGUGCUUGAGGGAGACAGAGGUAAGCGGAACUGAUGGUGGAGCGGUGAAAUGCGUUGAUAUCAUCAGGAACACCAGUAGCGAAAGCGGCUUACUGGGUCUCUUCUGACGCUGAGGCACGAAAGCUAGGGUAGCGAACGGGAUUAGAUACCCGAGUA
rnacentral:rRNA from 1 species